rnacentral:rRNA from 1 species
AUACGUAGGGGGCGAGCAUUGUCCGGAAUCAUUGGGCGUAAAGCGCGUGUAGGCGGCUCGAUAAGUCCGGUGUGAAACCUUGGGGCUCAACCCCAAGCCUGCACUGGAUACUGCCGAGCUAGAGUCCGGGAGGGGAGAGCGGAAUUCCUAGUGUAGCGGUGAAAUGCGCAGAUAUUAGGAAGAACACCGGUGGCGAAGGCGGCUCUCUGGAACGGUACUGACGCUGAGACGCGAAAGCGUGGGGAGCGAACA